AUGAACGCUAGCUACAGGCUUAACACAUGCAAGUCGAGGGGCAGCAUUUCAGUUUGCUUGCAAACUGGAGAUGGCGACCGGCGCACGGGUGAGUAACACGUAUCCAACCUGCCGAUAACUCGGGGAUAGCCUUUCGAAAGAAAGAUUAAUACCCGAUGGUAUAAUCAGACCGCAUGGUCUUGUUAUUAAAGAAUUUCGGUUAUCGAUGGGGAUGCGUUCCAUUAGGCAGUUGGUGAGGUAGCGGCUCACCAAACCUUCGAUGGAUAGGGGUUCUGAGAGGAAGGUCCCCCACAUUGGAACUGAGACACGGUCCAAACUCCUACGGGAGGCAGCAGUGAGGAAUAUUGGUCAAUGGGCGCAGGCCUGAACCAGCCAAGUAGCGUGAAGGAUGACUGCCCUAUGGGUUGUAAACUUCUUUUAUAUGGGAAUAAAGUUUUCCACGUGUGGAAUUUUGUAUGUACCAUAUGAAUAAGGAUCGGCUAACUCCGUGCCAGCAGCCGCGGUAAUACGGAGGAUCCGAGCGUUAUCCGGAUUUAUUGGGUUUAAAGGGAGCGUAGGUGGACAGUUAAGUCAGUUGUGAAAGUUUGCGGCUCAACCGUAAAAUUGCAGUUGAUACUGGCUGUCUUGAGUACAGUAGAGGUGGGCGGAAUUCGUGGUGUAGCGGUGAAAUGCUUAGAUAUCACGAAGAACUCCGAUUGCGAAGGCAGCUCACUGGACUGCAACUGACACUGAUGCUCGAAAGUGUGGGUAUCAAACAGGAUUAGAUACCCUGGUAGUCCACACAGUAAACGAUGAAUACUCGCUGUUUGCGAUAUACAGUAAGCGGCCAGGCGAAAGCAUUAAGUAUUCCACCUGGGGAGUACGCCGGCAACGGUGAAACUCAAAGGAAUUGACGGGGGCCCGCACAAGCGGAGGAACAUGUGGUUUAAUUCGAUGAUACGCGAGGAACCUUACCCGGGCUUAAAUUGCAUUUGAAUAUAUUGGAAACAGUAUAGCCGUAAGGCAAAUGUGAAGGUGCUGCAUGGUUGUCGUCAGCUCGUGCCGUGAGGUGUCGGCUUAAGUGCCAUAACGAGCGCAACCCUUAUCUUUAGUUACUAACAGGUCAUGCUGAGGACUCUAGAGAGACUGCCGUCGUAAGAUGUGAGGAAGGUGGGGAUGACGUCAAAUCAGCACGGCCCUUACGUCCGGGGCUACACACGUGUUACAAUGGGGGGUACAGAAGGCAGCUACCUGGUGACAGGAUGCUAAUCCCAAAAGCCUCUCUCAGUUCGGAUCGAAGUCUGCAACCCGACUUCGUGAAGCUGGAUUCGCUAGUAAUCGCGCAUCAGCCAUGGCGCGGUGAAUACGUUCCCGGGCCUUGUACACACCGCCCGUCAAGCCAUGAAAGCCGGGGGUACCUGAAGUACGUAACCGCAAGGAGCGUCCUAGGGUAAAACUGGUAAUUGGGGCU
rnacentral:rRNA from 1 species